UACGUAGGGUGCGAGCGUUAAUCGGAAUUACUGGGCGUAAAGCGUGCGCAGGCGGUUUUGUAAGCCAGAUGUGAAAGCCCCGGGCUUAACCUGGGAAUGGCAUUUGGGACUGCAAGGCUUGAGUGCGGCAGAGGAGACUGGAAUUCCUGGUGUAGCAGUGAAAUGCGUAGAUAUCAGGAGGAAUUCCGAUGGCGAAGGCAGGUCUCUGGGCUGACACUGACGCUCAUGCACGAAAGCGUGGGGAGCAAACAGG
rnacentral:rRNA from 1 species